GCCUGGCUGUCGUCAGCUCGUGUUGUGAAAUGUUGGGUUAAGUCCCGCAACGAGCGCAACCCUUAUCCUUUGUUGCCAGCGGUUAGGCCGGGAACUCAAAGGAGACUGCCAGUGAUAAACUGGAGGAAGGUGGGGAUGACGUCAAGUCAUCAUGGCCCUUACGGCCAGGGCUACACACGUGCUACAAUGGCAUAUACAAAGAGAAGCGACCUCGCGAGAGCAAGCGGACCUCAUAAAGUAUGUCGUAGUCCGGAUUGGAGUCUGCAACUCGACUCCAUGAAGUCGGAAUCGCUAGUAAUCGUAGAUCAGAAUGCUACGGUGAAUACGUUCCCGGGCCUUGUACACACCGCCCGUCACACCAUGGGAGUGGGUUGCAAAAGAAGUAGGUAGCUUAACCUUCGGGAGGGCGCUUACCACUUUGUGAUUCAUGACUGGGGUGAAGUCGUAACAAGGUAACCGUAGGGGAACCUGCGGUUGGAUCACCUCCUUACCUUAAAGAA
rnacentral:rRNA from 1 species